CCCCUCUCAGGGUCACACCUGGAGAGUUUCCAGUAUUCUACUAGUCUCGACAAUGGGAGGGAGAGUCCAGCAGAGGCCUACCCAUUCCAUUCCUAGCUUGGGCAGUGGCUAGUGAGCAGAAGGCAUUCUGCUUCAAGU